GCCCUUUUAUAGUUAAUGGGCAUGAUGAUUGGGUGUUCACACAUGUGUGAAAUGUGCCACCCUCAAAUCUUGUUACAAUAUUUCACAUUACCUGUCUGACA